rnacentral:rRNA from 1 species
AUGAAGAAGGCCUUAGGGUUGUAAAGUACUUUCGGUGAUGAGGAAGUUAUGUGUGGGAUAAGCACAUAUAAUUGACGUUAGUUACAGAAGAAGCACCGGCUAACUCCGUGCCAGCAGCCGCGGUAAUACGGAGGGUGCGAGCGUUAAUCGGAAUGACUGGGCGUAAAGGGCAUGUAGGCGGAUGAUUAAGUUAGGUGUGAAAGCCUCGGGCUCAACCUGAGAAUAGCAUUUAAAACUGGUGAUCUGGAGUACUGUAGAGGGAGGUAGAAUUCCACGUGUAGCGGUGAAAUGCGUAGAGAUGUGGAGGAAUACCGGUGGCGAAGGCGGCCUUCUGGACAGAUACUGACGCUGAGAUGCGAAAGCGUGGGGAGCAAACAGGAUUAGAUACCCUGGUAGUCCACGCUGUAAACGAUGUCGAUUUGGAGUUUGUUGCCUAGAGUGAUGGGCUCCGAAGCUAACGCGAUAAAUCGACCGCCUGGGGAGUACGGCCGCAAGGUUAAAACUCAAAUGAAUUGACGGGGGCCCGCACAAGCGGUGGAGCAUGUGGUUUAAUUCGAUGCAACGCGAAGAACCUUACCUGGUCUUGACAUCCACAGAAUCUUUCAGAGAUGAGGGAGUGCCUUCGGGAACUGUGAGACAGGUGCUGCAUGGCUGUCGUCAGCUCGUGUUGUGAAAUGUUGGGUUAAGUCCCGCAACGAGCGCAACCCUUAUCCUUUGUUGCCAGCGAUUAGGUCGGGAACUCAAAGGAGACUGCCGUUGAUAAAACGGAGGAAGGUGGGGACGACGUCAAGUCAUCAUGGCCCUUACGACCAGGGCUACACACGUGCUACAAUGGCGUAUACAAAGGGAAGCGAAGGUGCGAGCUGGAGCGGACCUCCUAAAGUACGUCUAAGUCCGGAUUGGAGUCUGCAACUCGACUCCAUGAAGUCGGAAUCGCUAGUAAUCGUGAAUCAGAAUGUCACGGUGAAUACGUUCCCGGGCCUUGUACACACCGCCCGUCACACCAUGGGAGUGGGUUGCACCAGAAGUAGAUAGCU